rnacentral:rRNA from 1 species
AAGGAAGAUAAUGACGGUACUUGAGGAGGAAGCCCCGGCUAACUACGUGCCAGCAGCCGCGGUAAUACGUAGGGGGCUAGCGUUAUCCGGAUUUACUGGGCGUAAAGGGUGCGUAGGCGGUCUUUCAAGUCAGGAGUGAAAGGCUACGGCUCAACCGUAGUAAGCUCUUGAAACUGGGAGACUUGAGUGCAGGAGAGGAGAGUGG